GGUAAAAUGGCUGAUAAGAGCAUUAGACUGUAAAUCUAAAGAUAGGGGUUUAAGUCCUCUUUUUGCCA
rnacentral:tRNA from 1 species